GGAGGGGUGACGGAGCGGCCGAACGUGGCGGUCUUGAAAACCGCUGGGCCGCAAGGCCCCGUGGGUUCGAAUCCCACCCCCUCCG
rnacentral:tRNA from 1 species